rnacentral:rRNA from 1 species
GGGAGUUAGAGACGUAACNAGUGAGCGGAUGACGGGAGCUUGCUCCUUGAUUCAGCGGCGGACGGGUGAGUAAUGCCUAGGAAUCUGCCUGGUAGUGGGGGACAACGUUUCGAAAGGAACGCUAAUACCGCAUACGUCCUACGGGAGAAAGUGGGGGAUCUUCGGACCUCACGCUAUCAGAUGAGCCUAGGUCGGAUUAGCUAGUUGGUGAGGUAAUGGCUCACCAAGGCGACGAUCCGUAACUGGUCUGAGAGGAUGAUCAGUCACACUGGAACUGAGACACGGUCCAGACUCCUACGGGAGGCAGCAGUGGGGAAUAUUGGACAAUGGGCGAAAGCCUGAUCCAGCCAUGCCGCGUGUGUGAAGAAGGUCUUCGGAUUGUAAAGCACUUUAAGUUGGGAGGAAGGGCAGUAAGUUAAUACCUUGCUGUUUUGACGUUACCGACAGAAUAAGCACCGGCUAACUCUGUGCCAGCAGCCGCGGUAAUACAGAGGGUGCAAGCGUUAAUCGGAAUUACUGGGCGUAAAGCGCGCGUAGGUGGUUCGUUAAGUUGGAUGUGAAAGCCCCGGGCUCAACCUGGGAACUGCAUCCAAAACUGGCGAGCUAGAGUACGGUAGAGGGUGGUGGAAUUUCCUGUGUAGCGGUGAAAUGCGUAGAUAUAGGAAGGAACACCAGUGGCGAAGGCGACCACCUGGACUGAUACUGACACUGAGGUGCGAAAGCGUGGGGAGCAAACAGGAUUAGAUAC